CCCGGGCCCCGGGAUGGAGCCCCUCGGGGAGCCUGCCGCUCCCCCGCCCGCCUCUGCCCCUCUCGCUGUGUCUCGGGAACAAAUAAGUGGCACCUUUAGGAAAUAAUGAUAGGAUCAGGAGAAAGUUUGCUGCCCUGUCUUCCCUCUUUCUGUUGGUUUUAUUCAUUUCUUGCUCUUUUUUUUUUCCUUAGGAAUUUAAAAAUGCUGAAAAGCAGAUACUGUGAUAUGUUCCCAGGGACCCCCGGCAAGGUGAGAGCUAAGAAGUAUUCCGAGGCCAAGUCAUGGAUCCACCAGCGCGUAAAGAAAAAUCCAAAGUUAAAGAACCUGCCAGCAGAGUUGAGAAGGCCAAGCAGAAAUCAGCCCAGCAGGAGCUGAAGCAGAGGCAAAGAGCAGAGAUCUAUGCCCUCAACAGAGUCAUGACAGAGCUGGAGCAACAGCAGUUCGAUGAGUUCUGUAAACAGAUGCAGCCUCCUGGAGAGUGAGCCACCCUAUGCUCAAACUAGGUGGGACCCUGGAGGCUCUGUUUGUCAGCUUGGUACCAGUUUUACUGAGAUGAUGAUCCACUUGGAACCUUACAGAUUUAGACAAGAAGACAUUUGCAUUAUUCCUAAAACUGGAUAAAUCUGAACUUCCUGUAUGUACCUUCUGCUUCAUUGGUUCCUUCAGUCUGAAUUGGCCCAAUGCUUGCUGAAGAGACUUGUUUUGUUCUCCUAAGACAAUAGAUUCUUUUUUUUUAACCUUUUUUCUAUUGUUUGAGAAAAAUCAGUGUUUCUUGUGAAACUGUAGAUCUUCUCCAAAAAUACAAAUAAAAUACUAAUAAAACAUU